GCAGCAGCCGCGGGAAAACGGAGGGUGCAAGCGUUAUCCGGAUUUAUUGGGUUUAAAGGGUCCGUAGGCGGAUCUGUAAGUCAGUGGUGAAAUCUCACAGCUUAACUGUGAAACUGCCAUUGAUACUGCAGGUCUUGAGUAAAUUUGAAGUGGCUGGAAUAAGUAGUGUAGCGGUGAAAUGCAUAGAUAUUACUUAGAACACCAAUUGCGAAGGCAGGUCACUAAGAUUUAACUGACGCUGAUGGACGAAAGCGUGGGGAGCGAACAGGAUUAGAUACCCCAGUAGUCCCUGUCUCUUAUAC
rnacentral:rRNA from 1 species